ACCUCGGUGGUGUAGUGGUAGCACACUUCCUCGGUAUGGAUGAAACGCGGGUUCGAUUCCCGUCCGAGGUC